rnacentral:rRNA from 1 species
ACGAAGGGGGCUAGCGUUGUUCGGAAUCACUGGGCGUAAAGGGCGCGUAGGUGGUGGCUUAAGCGUGCGGUGAAAGCUCGGAGCUCAACUCCGAGUCGGCCGUGCGAACUGGGCUCACUGGAGCAUAGUAGAGGCAGGUGGAAUUCCGGGUGUAGCGGUGGAAUGCGUAGAGAUCCGGAAGAACACCGGUGGCGAAGGCGGCCCGCUGGGCAGGAAGACGGAGCAAUCCGUCGGCUGACACUGAGGCGCGACAGCGUGGGGAGCAAACAGGA